UGACACGCUACGUUAAGGGAAGAGUUUUUCAGUUGCGCAAACAGUGUAUGCCACUACCAAAUUGUAGCUAUUUAACGCAAGUGCCUCCAAAAGGCCUCACAAGAGGUAGGAAAAACGUCAAAAAUGGGUUGAGGCUGCAGGAGGUCAGCCAGGGCGGGAAGACGAGCGUUACUGCGCACUCUCGGGCUCCUCUGGCACCUCUCAUCAGAAGCUGAGAAAUCACCUCGGAGGUAGACAGCUCUGAGGUCCGAGCAGGGCCUAAGCUUUUACAUUUUUAAUAUUAAGCCCUAUUUCUUAAAAACAACGAAGUACUAGAGCAAACUACUAAAGAGUACUAUUGUUUCUACUCCACUCUCGUGAGACAUUCCCCCCAGAGUUCUGCGUCCAGCUCUGGGGCCUCCAAUAUAAGAAAGACAUGGACCUGUUGGAGCGAGUCCAGAGGAGGCCAUGAAGAUGAUUCGAGGGCUGGAGCAUCUCUCCUGUGAGAACAGGCUGAGAGAAGGCUCCAGGGAGACGUUAUAGCAGCCUUCAGGGUCCGCGUGGCGACCGGCGACGGCGGGCAGCGACCUGGCAAAUAAAGCUGUGUGCACCGCCUGAACGUGUCCGGCUGGUUCUUGCGCGCGUGGCCGCCCGUUCCCCGCACUGCCUUUGACCCGGCGGGGUGCCCUGCCCGCGGCGCCGCUGGCCAAGCUGUAGUGCUAGAGCGAAACGCUUGUUCAUAACUGGGGCUGCUCGGCCCGACCUGUGCGGCCCUUUUAAAAGCAAGUGACAGCUCGUCUCGGCGAGCCUUGCCAAGCGCGGGAACAAAAUGGCGCCGCAGCCCGGCCGUGAGGCGGCGGCAGCUGCUGGUGCACAGGCGGUGCCUGCCCGGGAAGAGCUGGGCGGUGCACUGCUGUCCUUGCCGCCAUGGGAGCCCCCGGCUCCGGUCCUGGGCCUGUUGUGAUGGGAGAGGGCAGUAGCGGGGUGACACAGGAUCCAGGUUACUCACACGCUGUCGUUUGAUUCAGCGUGACUUUAACACAGCCUAGAUCACUGCGCUGGUUUUCUAGGGUUCAGUUUUUAAAGGGGACUUGGAACAAGUGCAAAAGUCCUGGGAUUCCUGUCUAGCUGUAAGGAGUACAGCACCUGGGUGAAGGUGGGAGGUAGCUAUUGAGCAGGAGAAAAGCAUCCAGUGUUGGGGUCCUUCAUGCACACUGCAAAAGAGAAUGUGAAACAAAAUGGAAGUUUGACUCCAGUCAUCUAAGCUGCAGCUAUUUUAAAGUUACUUCAUCUUUUCUAUCUAAUAGCUGUGCUUGUGCUGCAGUUAUACAGGAUGUUUUGUAUACAUAGAAAUCUAUACCCACACUGGUGACAGGAUUGGAUGUACAGGAGUAGUAGCUGAGUCUAGGAAGACUAAAAGAAGAUGUUUAAGCUCAGAGGGUAGUACAUGGCACCUGUUCUGUAGUUCCUGGUAAUCCUUUCAAGGUUUUCACAGGCAUAAAAUGAAAAAAACAUGGUUUUAAAAUCAUCAUAUACCACAACCAAGUACAACUCGGGUAUAGGGUAUAUAAAAAAAAUUUGAAAAGCACAUUGCAUGCUAUGUCAUCUUCGCAAGCUGCCUUUCUAAUGAAGUUUUUGAAACAAUUGCAGAAGAUACAGAAAUACAUUUUAACUAAGUUUGACAUGGGAUAAAUUUAUUUAAUAAAACGAAGCAAGCAGAUUGUAGUUACCCACAGUUUAUGAAGUGCAAUAUGACAAUCUUGUGUAAUAAGUCUAAAUCUGUUUACACAUUAGUGCAUCUAGUCCUUUGACUUUAGUUAUUGCACAUAGAAAUUAAAUCAUAUAAAAGACCUGCGUACAAGACAUGCAGACUUCAUGAAAGGCAAAUAAUGCCUACAUCAUCAGAGCAAACCCCAGAAUAUACACAGCCUGGAAUGGUCAAGGAGGAGUUCAGGUAACAAAUAUAACCUAUUAAUAUUUCAAUUAAAGGUAACCAAAAUAGGUGUUCAAAUAUAGAAUUAAUUUUAAAUAUAUUAAAUGCUAGUUUUCUUUUAUGUUUCAGGCAAGGUGCUGUUUAAAAAACCUUCAAUAUAAUAGCUUCAUUUAGAGAUGGUAAAUCAUCAAGUUACACAUGGAAAUUUUGAUUUACAUCAAAUGUGACAACACAACAUACAAAAAAGUUCUUAAAAAAUUACUUCUAAAAAAAAGCAAAUCAUGUUGUAAAAGGAGAGCCAAAACUCACCUUCUUUGUAAACUAAAACAUUUUCUGACAUCCAUGAGCAGUUGGCAACACUGAGUAUCAGAAAAAUAUUACAUGUGUUAAAUAGUGGAUAUGUAGUGUUUGAAUAUUGAAUUUACUGCAUACAUUUAGUCUUGAAUCAUCAUACCAGAUAGAAAUUAAAGGCAGCUUCCCCUCCCCCCUUAGUUUUGGCCAUUAAUUAGCAGAAACAGUCUUUAAUUACAUCACUAUCAGCUUGAGUAAAUGCAACACUUCAAUUCCUAUUCCACAAAAUCCAAAGAACCAACACAUGGGAGUCAAAACCUUUCAGUCACAGCUGUUUUCACAAACAUCAAGCAAUUUGAGGCCUGGAGUUGCACAGCUGUAACAUGAGGAUUUGGUCCCAUGCUUUGCAUGUAAACACAGUGCAAUGGAAGAGACUCACAGCAACAAACUCCCCUGUAAGAAAAAACUUGGUGUGUUUCCUUGUAGCAAGAGGCUUUAUACACAGUAGGGUAACUAAGUACUUCUGGUAAUGUGCAGUAUUAGACGUUUUACGUGUGUGCUCAUGUCUUUAUAAACAUUCAGAAUUAAUCAGGAACCAAGGUGAUUGUACCUCACUAUAAGGCGGCUUGCUAUGGUUUGGUCUCAUGGCUUUACCAACUUUUUUCUCCUCGUUUACAAAAAUCUGACAGUCCCACUUUCACUGAUAGUUGGGUGUGUUUUAUGGCUACUUGCUUCCCC